AUAAAUUAUUAUUAUUUUCGUAGUUAACAAAGAACCCAAGACAUCGGCGCACAAAGGAAAGGAGAAAGCUAUCGAUGAUUAAAACGAGAAAUUCACGGUUAAUAGAAGUCUAGUGUCCUGGUCCAGCAUCCGAGUGAUCCCGACUUCAGCGAAAAGAUUUUGGGUGAUGUUUUCUUUCUUAAUUGAAAGUGGCAUGUACUAGGUGUUGUAUAAGUUAUAUAGAUAUACUUGUAAAGUUAGUUAUAAGAAUGGUAUACCAUAUUUUGUUAUUAGUUUGAUAAAAUGGUAAAUAUUAUAUUAUAUAAUUUGGUAUAAGUUGGAAUGAAAAAAAAUGAAUGAAGUUAUUAGUUAAUUUGGAUUAAUAUUAUGAAUGUUUAGUUAUUAAA